CGGGUGAGUAACGCGUGGGUAACCUACCCUGUACACACGGAUAACAUACCGAAAGGUAUGCUAAUACAGGAUAAUAUAUUUGAGAGGCAUCUCUUGAAUAUCAAAGGUGAGCCAGUACAGGAUGGACCCGCGUCUGAUUAGCUAGUUGGUAAGGUAACGGCUUACCAAGGCGACGAUCAGUAGCCGACCUGAGAGGGUGAUCGGCCACAUUGGAACUGAGACACAGUCCAA
rnacentral:rRNA from 1 species